GAUGAAGAACGUAGCGAAAUGCGAUAAGUAAUGCGAAUUGCAGAAUUCCAGUGAGUCAUCGAAUCUUUGAACGCACAUUGCGCCCUUUGGUAUUCCGAAGGGCAUGCCUGUUCGAGCGUCAUUAUCACCACUCAAGCCCCCGGGCUUGGUUUUGGACGGCCUGGUCGGUCAGACGACCCCUCCUAAAGACAAUGACGGCGGCCUCGUGGGACCCCCGGUACACUGAGCUUCUUCACUGAGCACGUAUCGGAUUAGGGGACCCGGGUCCCGGUCUACUCCCCCAAGGGGAAACUUUUUUCUAGGUUGACCUCGGAUCAGGUAGGAAUACCCGCUGAACUUAAGCAUAUCAAUAAGCGGAGGA
rnacentral:misc_RNA from 1 species